GCCUGGGUGGCUCAGUUGGUUGAGCGUCUGACUUCGGCUCAGGUCAUGAUCUUGCAGUGCACGGGUUCAAGUCCCGCUUCAGGCU